GUGGGGAAUAUUGGACAAUGGGCGAAAGCCUGAUCCAGCCAUGCCGCGUGAGUGAUGAAGGCCUUAGGGUUGUAAAGCUCUUUCAGUAGGGAAGAUAAUGACGGUAACCGGAGAAGAAGCCCCGGCUAACUUCGUGCCAGCAGCCGCGGUAAUACGAAGGGGGCUAGCGUUGUUCGGAAUUACUGGGCGUAAAGCGCACGUAGGCUGAUAUUUAAGUCAGGGGUGAAAUCCCGGGGCUCAACCCCGGAACUGCCUUUGAUACUGGGUAUCUUGAGUAUGGAAGAGGUCAGUGGAAUUGCGAGUGUAGAGGUGAAAUUCGUAGAUAUUCGCAGGAACACCAGUGGCGAAGGCGGCUGACUGGUCCAUUACUGACGCUGAGGUGCGAAAGCGUGGGGAGCAAACAGGAUUAGAUACCCGUGUAGUCC
rnacentral:rRNA from 1 species